UACAGGCAUGAGCCACCGGGCCUGGCUGGGUUAACCUUUUAAAAUCUCCUGUCUCUCUCUGUGAAAAGUGGGGCUAAUAGUUGCAUCUUAGCAUAUGCCUGGCUGCCAUCUAGCAGUCAAUAAAUUUUAGGGUGAUGGAUGCUUACUCAACUUUAAAUUCUGUUGGAGUCUCUUGUUUCCCCCCCUCACCCACCAUUUCAAGCAGGUAACUCAAACUUGGAAAUAACAUGACACUUUUGAGAUUCAUAUUUUAUUUACAAGUAAAUGAAGACUGUCCCUGUAAACUCUAAUUUGGGAUAUGAAGAACAAUAUAAAGAAGUAGUUGCUGGUGCCACAGUGAUGUGUGAAGGAGUCUAUGCCACUGUUUCUUUAAACAGUGAUUUUGUUAUU
rnacentral:lncRNA from 1 species